GUGAUUACAACAAGUAUCCAUCCCUAUGUAUCUUAUCGUUCGCAUGAGCGGAUGCAAUAUCACAGUCCUUAUGACACGCUAUCUAUUGUUAAAGCACGAGAGUAGCCUAUGCUAGAGCUUGUGUAUUUUUAUUAGGCGAGAGCGAAUUCACCACAUGUAACUUUCUCGAUAACAUAAUAACAGUAAUCAAUGCGCAAAUGAUCUGGUGUGAACCAAGUGGGUGCACCAUCAUAUGAUUUGCCCCCCCCCCCCCCCCCCUCUCUCUACAGCGCUAUCCAACAGCGUUUUGCUGCCAGGGUCCACUUUCCCUGUAAUAGUAUGCAUGUAGGCUAGAUGAGUAUUGAGUAGCCCUGACUAGAAGGACUCACGUUAAACUGAAAUGUGAGAGUGGAGAGUAUUGCUUCUUAUGUAAAACAACCUUUGGAAUUCCUCCUCGUCCAAAUUCCAAUUCCAAUGCUCUCCCCUCUUCUUCCCCGUUAUUCGCAGCGAGACAUGAUCAGUAGCAGCAGCGUCUAUGCGAGCGAGGAAUGACCCCAAGGGAGCCUGGCUCAUGCAAAUCCCCCUCCCCCCCUCUCUCUCUCUCUCUCCAAAAACUAGUCCCUGGACUUGUGGCAGCUGGCUAUGUUGUCUUUGUGCGUGUCUCUCUGUGUGUGCUGACAACCCUCUCAGUGAUCUAAGUUAGAGAGGCACACAGCGCUGGAAACGGGAGGCAGCUGUCUGUUGCUAUACUGUCUGUGAGACGAAGAAGCAUUCGUUCUGCUGCUGCAAAGAUGAACGGCCGCCAAUCCGUAAAUCCUUGACAUCCAGCCUGCCCCUCCUCGCUCUCCUCCUGCGCCCCCUCCUCGUCGUCCUCCUCCUUCAUUUCUUUGGAUCCGUCUGUCAGCUCUGGAUGUCUGUUUAGAUGUUUUUUUGUGUUUGGUGUUCCUCUGACUGACAGUGUAUGGGCAAAGGCAUUCUUUUGGAAAGUAUGAUAGUCCCAGAGACAAACGCCUAAAUCCUUCCUCUAGCCAUUUGAACAGUGAUCUGUUUGUUCUUCCCCUCUGUCAUCAGACUGUUAUCAUUCUGAGUGCUGACAGCCCUGUGUCUUGUGGGGGUUUAGGAGAGAAAGAGGCCUCCUGAUGUACAGUAUCUGGUUUAGUACAGUAAUACUUGUUACUGUAUCUGGUCUAGGAGCAUAUAUACAAUACAUUGCCCUCAGAAAGUAUUCACACCCCUUUACCUUUUCUACAUUUUGUUGUGUUACAGCCUGAAUUUAAAAUGAAUUCAAUUUAGAUUUGUUGUCACUGGCCCACACACAAUACCCCAUUAUGUCAAAGUGGAAUUAUUUAAAAAAAACAUUUUUACAAAUUAAUUAAAAAAAAUGGAAAGCUAUAAUGCCUUGAGUCAAUAAGUAUUCAACCCCUUUUCUAUGGCAAGUCUAAAUAAGUAAAUAAGGAGUAAAAAAAAUAAGGAGUAGAAAUGUGCUUCAGAAGUCACAUAAUAAAACAAGCACACAUUUGAUACACACCUUGGAUGGUGUAUCAAUAUACCCAGUCACUACAAAGGUACAGGUGUCCUUCCUAACUCAGUUGCUGGAGAGGAAGGAAACUGCUCAGGAAUUUCACCAUGAGGCCAAUGGUGACUUUAAAAAAGUUUAAUAUCUGUUAUAGGAGAAAACUGAGGAUGGAUCAACAACAUUGUAUUUAACCUAACUGACAGAGGGAAAAGAAGGAAGCAUGUACAGAAUAAUUAUAUUCCAAAACAUGCAUUCUGUUUGCAAUAAGGCACUAAAGUAAUGCUGUGUUAAUACAACACAUUACUGAGUACCACUCUCCAUAUUUUCAAGCAUAGCAUAACUAUAUCAUGUUAUGGGUAUGCUUGUAAUCAUUAAGGACUGGGGAGUUUUUCAGGAUAAAAAAUAAAUAUAAUUGAGCUAAGCACAGGCAAAAUCCUAGAUGAAAACCUGAUUCAGUCUGCUUUCCACCAGACAUUGAGAGAUGAAUUCACCUUUCAGAAGGACAAUAACCUAAAACACAAGGCCAAAUCUACAUUGGAGUUGCUUACCAAGAUAACAGUGGAUGUUCCUGAGUGUCCAAGUUACAGUUUUGACUUAAAUCUACUUGAAAAUGUAUUGCAAGAGCUACAAAUUAUUGUCUAGCAAUGACCAACAACCAAUUUGACAGAGCUUAAUUAAUUUUUAAAAGAAUAAUGGGCAAAUGUUGCACAAUCCAGGCGUGCAAAGCUCUUAGAGACGAAACCAGAAAGAGUCACAGCUGUAAUCUUUGCAGGUGCUUCUACAAAUUAUAGACUCAGGGGUGUGAAUACUUAUGUAAAUCAGACAUGAAUGUAUUUCAUUUUCAAUACAUUUGCAAAAAAUGUCUAAAAACCUGUUUUCACUUUGUCAAUAUGGGGUAUUGUGUAUAAAUGAAAAUAAAUAAAUGCAAUACAUUUUGAAUUCAAGCUGUUACACAACGGAAUGUGGAACAGUGUAAGUCAAGAGGUGUGAAUACUUUCUGAAGGCACAGUACUUUAGGUAUCACCAUAUACCCAGUAAUAAGGGGAGGGAUAUCUUUUUUGCAUGUGUGGAUGUUUUCACUAUGGUGACGAUAAUCUGCACUUUGUAUUCAUUAGCCUAUUUAGUAUUUUGAGUAUGCUUUUUUAAGUGGGACCCAUUAUUGUAAAAUCUAUUGUUAUAAUUUUUUAAAAUGUAAAAUACUUUCCCCACCAUUCAACAUUACAAGUUGGUUUCAGGGAGGUUUGUUUCUGACGUUGUUGUAAUUGGCGCAGAAAGACAAGUUUGAGAGCUCAGGUGUGUGUUGAGAUUUGUGGUAGUAAAUUAGU
ensembl:lncRNA